rnacentral:sRNA from 1 species
AUGUACCGCUCGUACACUUCAGUUCCUGCGCGCCGCGCGCACCCGCCUGACAAUCGCUCGCUACGUUUUGUUAGCC